rnacentral:lncRNA from 1 species
AUUGCUUACAUAUGAAUUGCAGUGAAUUUUUACAUUACAAAAAACUCAAUUCAUUACAUUUAGUACAUAUAUUGGCACAAAUAAAACAAAUUAGUCCCCCCCUUUUCAGACAGGCAGAAGAAAAAUAUUGUGAGGAAGUCAACUGCUGGUAAAGUACAGAAUUAAGAUUCUUAAAGAAAAUGUAUUCAGAAGUAUUAAGGAAGAUACAAAAAUAUAGCAGUACAGUGAACUUCAAUACAUCCUAACGUUUAGUACCCAAACCAGCUAUACUAAAAUAGCACGCAUACCUAUGACCUGCACCAUCUCCUGCCAUCUCCUGGAAGGGAUAGCAAGCCAAGGACACGAAUCCAUAUUUCUUACGAAUCGUUAAUGAGACCAGUUCAGUAAUCUAGCAUAUACAGAAGUCUACUGUGAUUUAAAAACAACUACAACAAGAAAAUUCCCCCCCAAAC